rnacentral:rRNA from 1 species
ACGCUGGCGGCAUGCCUAAGACAUGCAAGUCGAACGAAGGGACCCAAUGAGAUUUAUAGAAGUUUGGAGAGCUUGCUCAAAGAAUGGAAAUAAAUCAAUUUGGAUUGUCCCUUAGUGGCAAACGGGUGAGUAACACGUGGGUUACCUGCCUUCAAGAUGGGGAUAACAGUUGGAAACGAUUGCUAAUACCGAAUGUGAUCUACGGAUUAAAGAAGCCUUUAAAGCUUCGCUUGAAGAUGGGCCUGCGGUGCAUUAGCUAGUUGGUGAGGUAACGGCCCACCAAGGCGACGAUGCAUAGCCGAACUGAGAGGUUAAUCGGCCACAUUGGGACUGAGACACGGCCCAAACUCCUACGGGAGACAGCAGUUAGGAAUAUUCGUCAAUGGGGGAAACCCUGAACGAGCAAUGCCGCGUGAGUGAUGACGGUCCUCUGGAUUGUAAAACUCUGUUGUUUGGAAAGAACUGUAAGAAGAGGAAAUGCUUCUUACUUGACGGUACCAUUCAAGAAAGCCACGGCUAACUACGUGCCAGCAGCCGCGGUAAUACGUAGGUGGCGAGCGUUAUCCGGAUUUAUUGGGCGUAAAGCGUCCGCAGCCGGUUUAUUAAGUCUAGAAUAAAAGCCUGGAGCUUAACUCCAGUUCGUUCUAGAAACUGAUAUACUUGAGUGUAGUAGAGGCAAAUGGAAUUUCUAGUGUAGCGGUAAAAUGCGUAGAUAUUAGAAGGAACACCAGUGGCGAAGGCGAUUUGCUAGGCUAUUACUGACGGUCAGGGACGAAAGCGUGGGGAGCAAAUAGGAUUAGAUACCCUAGUAGUCCACGCUGUAAACGAUGAGUACUAAGUGUCGGGUUACCGGUGCUGAAGUUAACACAUUAAGUAC